rnacentral:lncRNA from 1 species
UAAUAUUGAGAGACGUCGAGUCGCAAUUUUGGAACUUUCCGCACAGCAAAAAACUCCCACUGAAAUUGCCAAGGUUCUGAACUGCACCAUUUACAGCGUGGUAGCCAAAGGGACUCCUGAGGCGACCGCAAGAUCUAAGUCAUUGCCUCGAAGGUCCGAAAUGGUCUCUCCAGGGAGUUCAACGUCAGCAGAGGGACCAUGGACCACCUAGUUAGGAAAGAUCUUGGUCUUAAGGUCUACAAGAGAACCCCUCGUCAAACCCUCAAGCCUGUAGACAAGGAAAACGCCUUGCCUACAGGCCGAAGAUUCUUCUCAAUAAGCUUAAGAAAAAGGCCUCACUCGCUUGAUUGUUUGCCGCUUGACUUCGCAGUGUUUGGGCGUUUAAAGGGGAUGCUGUCAUGAGUCCAAUACAAGUCCAAGGACCAGCUGAAGUCUGCCCUCAAGAAUGCCUGAGCUAACCUCGACCAGAGCUUCAUCGCUAAGUCAUGCAGAAAGUUUCGGUCCAGGCUGGAGUUGCUAUUGAAGAACAUGGGGUGCCAUAUUGAAUAGACAUUUGUCUAAGAUCUUUCAUGUUAAAUAAAUUAAUUCGUCGACCACUUUAAAAAUUACAGAAUUAUUUAACUAUUUUUAAAAAUUUCAGAGUGUUCAGUUUUAGACGCGCACACAUGUAUAUUCACUUCAGAGAUGAUUGUGUUUGUAUUUUAAAAGAAAUCAGGGGAGAGCGUUGCUAUUCUGUUCAGCCUAUGAGCAAGAUAUGCAAUAUGAUUGGCAAAUGUUGUUUAAGGUUUUCGGUUGAUUUAAUACAAUAUGAAGCUCCGUUGGUAAUGAAAACCUUCAGUUUUUCGCCUCUGAAAUAAGAGACAAGAACGUUGCUGCUACUUUUUAAAGCAACACUUGUAAUCAUUGGAUACCUUCCAAAUUAAUGAAAUAAGGACGAUCCAAAAAAUAACCAUUUAAAGGACCAACCAACACUCCAGUCAUGGACUGCUAUCGAGUAUCAAUAUUUUUUAAAAUCUUGGUCAACACUACUUUACUUUGAGACUCCAUUGACUUGGUGAUGGAGAAGCGAGAGGGAAUUACUUUUCCAGUGUAAAUUUCCAUAAACUUAACGAAAUUUGGAUAAUUAACGAUAUAGAGUGGAAUAUUGUAGGAGACAAGCAUUUUGGUUAUAUCUCCAGUAAAAUUGGAAUGUUCAUAAUUGGAAUUAAUUUUAUGACUUGUAUACAGCUUCAAAUUCCUACGUGAAUUUGGGUUUUACUGUGUUGUUCUACUUUGAACAUCAUUUCGACUAAAGUUCUAUAAAUACAAAGAUAGCAUGCCAAAAAUCUAGAAUUCUCGUCGUAACUCCAUAUAUUUUUACAUAAACUAUCAGCGAUCAAAUAAUAUUUAUCAAUUAAUUUACCCUUUAAAAGCUUUUAUUUAAAUAUUAAAUAAUUUUGAAAUACAAUAUUGUUAAUUAA